CUGUAGUGAGGUGGCGUUGGUCUGUUCUCCCACGUGCCUGGUGACAGGAUGAGGGGGAAUGGGCUAAAGUUGCACCAGGGGAGGUUUAGGUUGGAUAUUAGGAAGAACUACUUUACUGAGAGGGCUGUCAGGAAUGAGCUGCCCAGUGAAGUGGUUGAGUCACCAUCCCUGAAGGUCUUUAAAAGACGUUUAGAUGUAGAGCUUAGUGAUAUGGUUUAAUGGAGGACUGGUUAGUGUUAGGUUAGAGGUUGGACUAGGUGAUCAAUGAAUACAAAUGCCUAUUUUGAAGGGGGGUAUUCAAAAUAAAUAGAUAGAUAGAUAGUUAGAUGAUAAAUACAUUAAAAAAAAAAAAAAAAAGAAAAAAAGAAAAACAGUAACACUCUGUACUGUCCUACAGUAUUCUGCCUAACAAGAGCACGCCUAGCACUCUGGCACAUCUCUUUCCCAAGCACAUUCAACUUUAUAUAUGUCUUACUCCUGGGCUGAGGUAAAGGAGACAAGAUUGGUUGUGUCUCCAUAGCACUCCAGUCUAUUGAGGGUGGACUCCACUCACUGAGGCUCUGGGCAUCCAUUAGUCAUUCAUUGUCUGUGUAAUAUACAGCACUCAAACAGCAAAAUCAAACCAGACUCAAUCUUUACAUUGAGAAUUAAUAGUAUCUGCAACAUACCUGGGGACAAAAAAAAGGAAAGGUUUGCAUAAAUUGUGUCAGUUAAGUACAUAAUUGUAAAACCAUGUAUAUUCUGUGUGUGAGUCUGCUACAUUCAGAAAGGAGAGAAUGUUCCCUUUGGGAGAGUGACAAAUGAAAUGCUGCUUCUUGGGAAGAAAAACAGGGAGGCACCGAAUCUGUUUGUGGAUUCAAAUGUAUUACAGGGUCAAACAGGCUUGAGUUUCCUUAAUCUCUUUGGUUAAAGAUUAACUAAAGGCCAAUUGUGUACCUAUUUGGAAGCUGUGUAUUUAUUUGGAAUAUUAACUGAGACUUAAGACAGGAAGAAUAAAGAGUUCCUUCAUUCAAAGAUAAUAAAGCCUAGCUGCUCAAUAUUCAUAUCACUUAACCAAACUAGAAUUAUAUAGCAGGGCCGUGACUGAUUGCAGAGCAUACAAUUGCAUCAUGAAUAAUAUUGUCAAAAUGGAGCUCCGAAGCAAGACACCAGAGAGGACAAUCAAGCUAGAAUGUAAAUAUCACAAAGAAAGACUAUUAUGUUGCAGUGUUUCCCAAACAUUAUAAUUCAUGAGUUUGAUUCAAUUAAAAUUAUUUCAAAGCUUUCUAAGUGCAAAAAAAAAAAAAAAAAAAAAAAAAAGGGGAGGGGGGGCAUUAAAGGCCAGUAAAGCUAUGAAAUUUGUCUUCACAGAUGGCUGGUUUGUUCUCUAAGAAAGCAGGCAGUCUACAGAAAACUUCUGAAAUGACCUUGUGUCAUCUAGAAACUAAACUGGUAUCGUCAGAGAAGCUCAGUGUUGAACUGUCUCAGCUCUCAGCAAGGAGGCUUCUGUGUGUAUGGGCCACUCUGUGCAUCACUUCUUUCUCAGAGUCGCACAACAAAAGACCCCCAGGGCUUCAGAAGGUGGAUGUCGUUUGAAAAUUAGAUAUAGCUUUCUUCUAAUUGAACACCAUCCAGAAGAUUAAAGGGACUAUGUGAUUUGGAAACACCUGAAGAACUUGAUUUGGAGAUAUGAAUUUUACCAUUCACUACCAGGAGUGUUCACAUGAUAAUACUAUCUCCCUUCUGAACCCACAGCAAAAAGUCUUGAUAUUUCCCUGGAUAAUGACCACUAAAAGCAAAGCAAGACAAGGGAGAUAGCUCCACUGACUUGGAAUCUGAGGGGUUCAGCCAUACUUUUCUCCAGAUUGAUGAAUCACUUUCCUUUUACAUAUGAUCACAGUCAUCACCAGGAAAUUACACAAUCCCAAAUAAAAACUAAAUUUAA